AUCAGCGGCCUGGCUCGCGCGUGACGCGAUGCGGCUGCGAAAGAAAGGUGACGAAACACAUUUAGGGCCGUCUGUGCUGGCAUGAGCGUUUGUACGCGCACACACUUGUAGCACACUUGCGUUCCUGCCGAGCUGCGGAGUGUACCCACCGGUUUGAGCAGAACGGGUGCGAAAUGGCAUGCUAGCGUAUUUUCUGCUAUAUUUCCGGGCACCGACUCCCGCCGACGGUUUCCUGUCGGCCACGAAUCACGUGCGCCCUCGAGCGAACAAGCCUACAAAGCCACUGGCAGCGCUCCUUCUCAGGGCAGCUAUGUGAGACGCUUGGCUUUCAAAGAAAGCAGAGUUUCAACCUCCUGAAAACACGAAAAAGGACGCAUGGUCAGCGCUUUUCUCAUCAUUGAUGGCAACAAGCAAACAAUGAAGAUGUAGGGAAGGCUUUAAGUCUUCCCACCUAGACGACGGCCAGGAGUCCUUGGACCCUAGCGGCGAUUUCGGCCAGUUGGACGGUCUUCAGUUGAAUCUCCGGAUCGGAGC